rnacentral:rRNA from 1 species
AUACGGAGGAUGCGAGCGUUAUCCGGAUUUAUUGGGUUUAAAGGGAGCGUAGGCGGGAGCUUAAGUCAGCGGUUAAAUGGUGCGGCUCAACCGUGCCCUGCCGUUGAAACUGGGUUUCUUGAGAGUGCAAGAGGCGGAUGGAAUUCAUGGUGUAGCGGUGAAAUGCUUAGAUAUCAUGAAGAACUCCGAUUGCGAAGGCAGUCCGCUGGGGCACGUCUGACGCUGAUGCUCGAAGGUGCGGGAAUCAAACAGGAUUAGAUACCCUGGUAGUCCACGCAGUAAACGAUGAUAACUAACCGCUGGGCUUAUCAGUUCAGUGGCCAAGCGAAAGCGAUAAGCCAUCCACCUGGGGAGUACGACCGCAAGAAUGAAACUCAAAUGAAUUGACGGGG